GAAGCGACGAAAAUCGGGAUCGAAUCCCACUACGGUAACAUACGAGGGUAUCCAAACAACACAUACUAUCCAAAUAAAAAAAUAUGGAGUUCCGGUUUAGACCAUGGGCGUGCGACGACCCCGAUGAAAUUCGGGAUAUCACGGUCUUCGUUAAUAUUAAUAAGCGUCCGUCAGAUCAGUAGGCGAAACGCAAUAUCCGCACAAUAAGAUGUCUGCGACCCGAAAGAAUAUUCAAAAAUAUGGACGGCACUCCAGUACAGCAUGUGCAUGGUUGGACCUGUUGACAUUUUUAGAAACGCAUCUUGGUCUAUUAUACAGAGUAUUGUUGUACUGCUCCAAAGUGCUUGUUGACAGACUGGAACCACUUGCUUGCGGCUCAUAAGGUUCACUUCUUGAGAGCAGGCAGCUACAAAAUGGAAGGUCAACAAAUCCAGUAUACUUGAAAAGCAAGAAAGAAACACCAGAAAAUAUAAAAAGACAGAAGAACAAGGGAACUUUAAUAAAAAAACAAACUUUUAAGGAUAGGAAUUCAGGAUUUAUUUAGAAACUAAAUUUAUUUUGAGAACAGCAGUGUUUGACUAAGCUCUGUUACUUUAAGAGAUAAUGUAUUAUCA